rnacentral:rRNA from 1 species
UACGUAGGGUGCGAGCGUUGUCCGGAAUUAUUGGGCGUAAAGAGCUUGUAGGCGGUCUGUCGCGUCUGCUGUGAAAAUCCGGGGCUCAACCCCGGACUUGCAGUGGGUACGGGCAGACUAGAGUGUGGUAGGGGAGACUGGAAUUCCUGGUGUAGCGGUGAAAUGCGCAGAUAUCAGGAGGAACACCGGUGGCGAAGGCGGGUCUCUGGGCCGAUACUGACGCUGGAGGAGCGGAAAGCGUGGGGGAGCGAACAGG